AGACGUCUACAUUAGACUACCCGGUAGUCCCAGCCGUAAACUAUGCGCGUUAGGUGUAUCGGUGACCACGAGUCACCGAGGUGCCGAAGGAACCGUGAAACGUGCCGCCUGGGAAGUACGGUCGCAAGGCUGAAACUUAAAGGAAUUGGCGGGGAGCACCACAACGGGUGGAGCCUGCGGUUUAAUUGGACUCAACGCCGGGAAGCUCACCGGAUAAGACAGCGGAAUGAUUGCCGGGCUGAAGACUCUGCAUGACUAGCUG
rnacentral:rRNA from 1 species